UUACGUUUAGUUUUGAUUGGUUUUGAUAGACCGAGACAGUUCACGCGGCCUUGGAUUGGAAAUAAUAUAAACGAAAAACAAAACAAGGCAAAACAAAACAAUUGAUGGCUGGCUGCUAAUCAACCAAGUUUAAAGAAAUGUAGUCAAAUGUAGUUUGAAAUUGUACACAGUGCCAAAGCAUCAUUCCCAGCAAUGUUGGAAUUACUUUCGCUCAAGUUUUUUCAAGAGUUUUUCUCCUUUGGCCAAUCCUUUACUAUGUUACUGCGACAAGAGAUCAGUUUGGAUUACCCCUGUUAUUGAUUGCUUGGACUGUUACUGAAGUUCUUCGCUACCUUUACUACAUCUUGAAUUUACUCUCUACUGUGCCAGCAAUUACAUUGGUACAGAUAUUCUUUUUUCAUUAUCUUGUAUCCUAUU